GAAUCGCCAAGCAUGCUGCUACUCUGCCUGUCUGUUAGGAAGGUGCUUGCUGGCAGAACAUCUACCACAUGUGUGGUGGGAGAUUGGCCUCUCGGAUUGUGCUCAUCAGCCACACAAGGACCUUGAACAGUGACAUGGAAUUUCCUGGGUGAAGAGUCAUACCACUUAAUUUUUCCCAAGUUAUAAAUCUCACCAAUUAACCAACAAAGGCAAAAGUCAAAGACAGCUUGAUCAUGGCUAUUACUUCGCUGGCUGGAACAUUUCUGUAAAAUUGGAAACACUGCUAAAGCAAUCAAAAACAAAGAUCUACAAUGAAAAGUACAAGUACAGGAGGAUGAGCAGCAUUUCAUUA